UUUUCACACAAAAAUAGAAAAAAAACAAUAAAUUUUGGGGGUUCCCCAUACUUAGAACUGAAACUCAAAAAAAUUUUUUUCAUCAAAACCAUACGUGUGGUGUUUCUAAUAUCAUUUUUUUCUAAACUGAAUAGUUUGCGCGAGAGAUACUUCCAAAGUCGUAAAAUGUGUCCCCCCCCCCCCCCUGUAACUUCUAAAAUAAGAGAAU